AUCCCUAGCUGGUCUGAGAGGAUGAUCAGCCACACUGGAACUGAGACACGGUCCAGACUCCUACGGGAAGGCAGCAGUGGGGAAUAUUGCACAAUGGGCGCAAGCCUGAUGCAGCCAUGCCGCGUGUGUGAAGAAGGCCUUCGGGUUGUAAAGCACUUUCAGUCGUGAGGAAGGUAGUGUAGUUAAUAGAUGCAUUAUUUGACGUUAGCGACA
rnacentral:rRNA from 1 species